ensembl:lncRNA novel transcript
ACACAGCCUCGUGUGUGGCAGAGCCUUAGAUUCCAAGCCAGGCUGUCCGAUGCCAGACCUUCACAGCUAUCCUAUGCUUCCACGGCACCCCGGACUUCCCCUUGGAGCACUUGCCAGUGAAACAAACAUGCCCUGGAGAAAUGCCUGGAUGGGGAAAUGAAGACUUAAGAAACUUAGGUAAUCUGCCCAAAGGCUUAUAGCCAAUACAUGGUAAAGCUGAGAUGUGAACUCAA